rnacentral:lncRNA from 1 species
GACCUAUAGUUACUGGCUGCCUUUCCUACAGCAUAUUAGGAAGGUGGGCUUCUCUCUUUUUAUUGCUAUGAAAAGAGACCAUUUGUCACUGAGGGCCUGCCCCACCUUGCCUCACCAGCCCCAGAUGUGCAGUUAAGGCAGAAUCGUAAGUGAGAACAAGCAGUUGUCCCAGUGCCUUCUCACUUGGCCUUUUCUGUCUCUGGGGACCCUAUCUGAGCUACUCUGGAAGUGGUUCUCAAAGAUCAGUUUCCCGAGGAAGUAAGAAAACAAUUCAGGCCAGGUGCGGGGGCUCGCGUCUGUAAUCCCAGCACUUUGGGAGGCCAAGGCGGGUGGAUCACAAGGUCAAGAGAUCGACACCAUCUUGGCUAACACGGUGAAACCCCAUCUCUACUGAGAAUACAAAAGAUUAGCCAGAUGUAGUGGCGUUCGCCUAUAGUCCCAGCUACUCUAGAGACUGAGACAGGAGAAUCACAUGAACCCGGGAGGCGGAGCUUACAGUGAGCCAAAAUCGCACCACUGCACUCCAACCUGGGCGACAGAAUGAGACUCUGUCUCAAAAAAAAAAAAAAUCAGGCAAACACUGUGCAUUACUCAUCCACUAUCCAUCCCCUCUUUCUUCAUUAUUAAGACCCAUUUUUUUCUUUUAAGAUGUCAACAUGGUCAGCUAAAAACACUUGGUUACAGCUAAGACUAGCCAAAUGACACAGUUAAGGCCAAAGAUAUAAGUGGAAGUCUCUAGGGGAGGACACUUCUAUCAUAAUAAAAAGACAAAGGCUCCUGUGGAAAAGGCAUUUUGCACCUCACCCUUAUUCUGUUUUCCAGCCUGGAACAUGGACAGUGAGGCCUGGAGGUAUAGCAGCCAUAGUGUGAUCAUGAAACAACAAGCUAUGAGGAAAAUAGUAGAUGUCCUAUAUAUAAUAAAGGGCCAAAAAAUGAAAAGGCACUGGGUCUCAGAAGAUGGAAUCUCCGGAAUCCUGAAUCAAACCUGAACAUCCUACUCCAGACUUCUUGUAUAAGACAAUUGAAGCCGCUAGCAUUAGUUAGGUUUUUUGCAACUUAUAGUUGAAAAAACCCCUAACUAGUAGAGAAUUUGAUAUUUUAAAGUGGAAUCCUCAAGUAAAAGAAUCUAAAAUGUAGGGGCCGGGCGCAGUGGCUCACACCUGUCAUCCCAGCACUUUGGGAGGCCGAGGUGGACAAUCACGAGGUCAGGAGUUCGACACCAGCCUGACCAAUAUGGUGAAACUCCACCUCUAAAAUCUAAAAUGUGAACUUGGCUAAGUAGAGGGAGGAAGGUAGUGAGAUAUGAUGACCCAAUAUGUCAGGCUGGAAAGUCAGGACCUUUGUUGUGAAAUGACAAUAUAUUUGGUCAGACCAUGGCAUAUCUUGCAAUAUGGACCAAAUAGAAACCUAGGUGUAAUGAUAGAGGAAGUGGUAGAAAAAAGUUUAGAAAGUUAGCAUGAGCUGGUUCCUUGCAUCUUUCAUCAACGACCUACAAGAGUAGGAUGCUGCUAUUGCAAAAAAACUGAAACAGGUGUCACUGGCUUUGGGAACAGGCAAUGGGUGAAAGCCGGAAGGGUCUCUAGAAGAUUGUUAGUAAUGAUUUGAAGGACAGUGAGGAAAUUGUUACUGGAAUCUAGAAAAAAGAGAUCCUGUUAGGUAAUAGCAGAAUGUCUGGCAACACUGUUAUCUGUGGUUACAUGGAAAACAGAAAGGUACCUAAUCAGUUUAUGGAUAUGAGUAAGGAGAUUUUUAUGCAGAAUAUGAAAGUACCAGUUGGCUUCUUCUGGCUGCCUAUGAUAAAAUAUGAGACUAGAAAGUUGAACUAAGCCAGACAUGGUGGCUCAUGCCUGUAAUCCCAGCACUUUGGGAGGCCAAGGUGGGCGGACCACAAGGUCAGGAGAUCAAGACCAUCCUGGCCAAUAUGGUGAAACUCCAUCUCUACUAAAGAUACAAAAAAUUAGCUGAGCAUUGUGGUGCAUGCCUGUAGUCCCAGCUACUAGGGAAACUGAGGCAGGAGAACUGCUUGAACCCGGGAGGCAGAGGUUGCAGUGAGCCAAGUCGUGCCACUGCACUCCAGCCUGGCAACAGAGCGAGACUCUGUCUCAAAAAAAAAAAAAAAAAA